AUUGAACGCUGGCGGCAGGCCUAACACAUGCAAGUCGAGCGGAUGAAGGGGGCUCGCGCCUCGAUGCAGCUGCCGACGGGCGAGUAAUGCCUAGGAAUCUGACUGGUAGUUGGGGAUAACGUCCGGAAACGGGAGCUAAUAUCGCACACGUUCUGAGGGAGAAAGGGGUGGUUCUUCGGUCCUAACGCUAUUAGCUGAGACUGAGUUGGAUUAGCUAGUUGCUGGGGUAAAGGCCUACCAAGGCGACGAUCCGUAACAGGGCUGAGAGGAUGAUCAGUCACACUGGAACUGAGACACGGUCCAGACUCCUACGGGAGGCAGCAGUGGGGAAUCUUGAGCAAUGGGCGAAAGCCUGAUGGAGCCAUGCCGCGUGUGUGAAGAAGGUCUUCGGAUUGUAAAACACUUUAAGUAGGGAAGAAGGGCAGUGUGAGAAACUCUGGAUAUUUUGACGUUACCAAAAGAAUAAGCGGCGGCUAACUACGUG
rnacentral:rRNA from 1 species